rnacentral:rRNA from 1 species
UCUGAAUAUUGCUGUGGGAAGUUUGGUGAAUCUUAACACUUAGAGGAAGGAGAAGUCGUAACAAGGUUUCCGUAGGUGAACCUGCGGAAGGAUCAUUC